rnacentral:sRNA from 1 species
UUGAGAGAUAUCUUCGAGCUAUCCCCCUACCUGGCGCGCCAACUGUUGAUGCACGAAUCACACAAGUACGAAAAUGGGAUCUCUAGGGAAGGAAGAAUCUUUCUAUUAAAGACGAGCCUGCGACUUAGGCGAAUUGGACGGAUUACAAAGGAUGAUUUCUUCAACGAGCAUAGAUGGAGUAAGAACGAGCUGAUUGUAGAUGAAAGGCGAGCUUGAUGCCGGAAGACGAACUUGAUGUCCGAGGAAGAAUAGAGUUUAUUCGUUUUAUAGCUGAACCUUGUAAAAGGUUGCCUACGUACCCUUAGAAAGGGAUCAAGCCACUUC